rnacentral:tRNA from 1 species
UUUAAUGUGGCAGAUUAGUGCAUUGAGUUUAAGCCUCACAUAUAAAGAUUUCUUUCAUUAAAA